rnacentral:rRNA from 1 species
GAACCGUGCGAACGUUGUUCGGAUUCACUGGGCUUAAAGGGCGCGUAGGCGGGUUCCCAAGUCAGGGGUGAAAUCUUUCGGCUCAACCGGAAAACAGCCCCUGAUACUGGGAGUCUGGAGGGAGGUAGGGGCAUGUGGAACUUCCGGUGGAGCGGUGAAAUGCGUAGAUAUCGGAAGGAACGCCGGUGGCGAAAGCGACGUGCUGGACCUCUUCUGACGCUGAGGCGCGAAAGCUAGGGGAGCAAACGGGAUUAGAUACCCCGGUAGUCCUAGCCCUAAACGAUGGGUACUAGGUUGUGGACUUGACAUGGGUUCACAGCCGAAGCAAAAGUGUUAAGUACCCCGCCUGGGGAGUAUGGUCGCAAGGCUGAA